AAUAGAUACCCCGGUAGUCCACGCCGUAAACGAUGGAUGCUAGCUAUUGGGGGGAAUCGACCCCCUCCGAAGCGAAGCUAACGCGUUAAGCAUCCCGCCUGAGUAGUACGAGCGCAAGCUUAAAACUCAAAGGAAUUGACGGGGACCCGCACAAGCGGUGGAGCGUGUGGUUUAAUUCGAUGGUAAACGAAGAACCUUACCAAGGUUUGACAUCCCGGUAGCCGUUCUCCGAAAGGAGAAUUUCAUUUAGUUGGACCGGUGACAGGUGAUGCAUGGCCGUCGUCAGCUCGUGUCGUGAGAUGUUGGGUUAAGUCCCGCAACGAGCGCAACCCUUAUGAUUUAGUUGGAUUUUUCUAAACAGACUGCCCUGGUAACAGGGAGGAAGGAGGGGAUGAUGUCAGGUCAGUAUUUCCCUUACACCUUGGGGCGACACACGCGCUACAAUGGCCGGUACAAUGGGCAGCUAAGCCGCGAGGUGGAGCAAAUCCCAUCAAAGCCGGUCCCAGUUCGGAUUGCAGGCUGAAACCCGCUGCAUGAAGUCGGAAUCGCUAGUAACC
rnacentral:rRNA from 1 species